ensembl:lncRNA
CAAACUUUCAAGCACUGCUGUAAUAGAUCAGAUAUUAAAUAACUAUAAUCACUAUCACAGUGUGUGACAGUAAUUGGUUACACAAUUCACCAUGAUGUUUAACACAUGCAGGAUUAUUACAGCUCUGAUCAACACUAGAUUUCAGUUUGUUUGAGUUUGGUUUUGUGUUUAUAGUCUAUUCGUUUGUAGGGUUUACCAAGAUAGAUGAAUGACCCUUGACACCAAUACUCGCACAACAUGAUGUAUUCGAUGUAUGAUUGUGUCUAGACAAGUAAAUAGACAGAUGAAUAAAUAGAUGGAUGAAUAAAUAGACAGAUAUACAGAUGGUGGUGAAAGUUGCUAAUGGAUUGAUGUUUGUAGACAGCCAAUUUCUCAAUAUGUUUCUUUACUUUGGAAGUCGGAGGAGUUACAGGUGCCAGGGGAGUUGGAAUUAACAGGAGUUGGGGUCUUACAGGAAUUAUGAGUGUGACUGCAGUUAUAGGAGUUGUGGGAUACUGAAGUAUUACAGGUGUUUACUGGAGGUUUAUUCUGUUUACAGAAUUUACUGGAGGUAGGGUGGAGUUGCUGGAGGUAGAAGGAGGUUAGGGGAGUUGCUGGAGCUAGGGGUAGUUGCUGGAGCUAGGGGUAGUUGCUGAAGGUAGGGGGAGUUGCUGGAGGUAGGAGGAGGUAAGGGGAGU